rnacentral:rRNA from 1 species
GAUGAACGCUGGCGGCGUGCCUAAUACAUGCAAGUCGAGCGAACGGACGAGAAGCUUGCUUCUCUGAUGUUAGCGGCGGACGGGUGAGUAACACGUGGAUAACCUACCUAUAAGACUGGGAUAACUUCGGGAAACCGGAGCUAAUACCGGAUAAUAUUUUGAACCGCAUGGUUCAAAAGUGAAAGACGGUCUUGCUGUCACUUAUAGAUGGAUCCGCGCUGCAUUAGCUAGUUGGUAAGGUAACGGCUUACCAAGGCAACGAUGCAUAGCCGACCUGAGAGGGUGAUCGGCCACACUGGAACUGAGACACGGUCCAGACUCCUACGGGAGGCAGCAGUAGGGAAUCUUCCGCAAUGGGCGAAAGCCUGACGGAGCAACGCCGCGUGAGUGAUGAAGGUCUUAGGAUCGUAAAACUCUGUUAUUAGGGAAGAACAUAUGUGUAAGUAACUGUGCACAUCUUGACGGUACCUAAUCAGAAAGCCAUGGCUAACUACGUG